GAUCCAGUGGCGAAGUGGUAUCGCGUCCGCUUUACCUCAGUGAGACAAUCUCGGAGUUUCUGCGGAAGACACCCGUUCGAUUCGGGCCUGGGUCA